UUCUGGAAGGAUUGACAGAUUGAGAGCUCUUGCUUGAUUCGGUGAAUGGUGGUUCAUGUCCGUUCCUAGUUGGUGGAGCGAUUUUUCUGGUUAAUUCCGAUAACAAACGAGGCCAUAGCCAAUUGAAUACAUGUGUGGUUCCGUGCACCUUGCACCCUUCUUCGAGGGACAAGCGGCUCCUAGUAGCACGAAACAGAGCAAGAACAGGUCUGUGAUGCCCU
rnacentral:ncRNA from 1 species